rnacentral:tRNA from 1 species
AAUUAAUUUAUUACUUUGGCAGAAUAGUGCUUUAAAUUUAGAAUUUAAAUAUGUAAUUAGUUACAUGUAAUA